CCGUGUUGAUUCUCCUCUCCACUACCUCUCUCUUGCAAUAGGUCCAUCAACACCAGAACCUGAGACACCCUUGCCAGACAUCACAACGCCGCCUCCACACCAGACAACAACCACCCCAAGCUCAGGUCCAUCAACACCAGAACCUGAGACACCCUUGCCAGACAUCACAACGCCGCCUCCACACUCACCAACUGCACCAACACCUACAGCAAUUUCAGGCCAUGCUUCCUGCAGUGCCUCUGGGGAUCCACAUUACAACACUUUUGACCACAGAGUUCAUAAUUUCAUGGGAAACUGUUC
rnacentral:lncRNA from 1 species